rnacentral:rRNA from 1 species
GGGCGGUGCAUGGACGAAAUUGUACGAAUAUUUCGGUACGAACAAGCUGCCCGCGCAGGUCCGCAUCGCCCUGGCCUGCUGCCUGAACAUGUGCGGCGCCGUGCACUGUUCGGAUAUCGCCAUCCUGGGCGUCCAUCGCAAAGCGCCCUAUCGUGGAAAACGAACGCGUGCAGAACAUCUUGCGAAAUUCCGCUCGUGGAUCGCCGUCCUGUCCGACCGGGGCCAUCCAGCCGAACAAGGUCG